GGCCGCCGCUCGCCUUCCUCCGGCAGCACCUCGCCGCCGUGUUUGCCUCCUCUCGCAGCUGCUCCGCCUCCGCCAUUUCAAUUCCUCCCAGCACCACGCCAGCGCGUCCCGUCCGCCCUCGAUGUGAUCGACGCUGACGAGGUUCCGUCAUCGUCUCAUCGACAUAUAUCCUGACAAGGUGAGAGGAACGAUCCCAUCAGGUCGAACAGCAAGAGGAACGAUUCCAUCAGGCUGAACGGCGAGCAGCAUCCAUGCCUGACGCACACGGCAUCGUGCCUGCUGAGCUAUACUGUUGCUUCAACUCGGAUGCAGCAGUACUACGUACUCUCCUCUUUCUGAUCAGGACGCUCCCAUCCGAUGGCCGUUGGGGCCGCCCCAUUGAACGUCGCUGUUGUAGGACAAAAUCCCCUGGAUCAUUCCUGGCGUGUAGAAAUUGCCGACUCGCGACUGGAUAUUACCACGGCGCCCGGAGAACGCUCGCUUGUCAGUUUGUGACUGGACAUGACAUGCACCUGGACGAUGAUGUUGCCUCACACCUGAGCAGCUUAACUAAACGAACAAAUCACAUAGGACCGAGGCAAAACAUUUGGUUCUUCAGGCCUAUGACUACUAAGUACUAAUAAGGAACACUUACUACAGAAAUUAAUCGGAUGCUCUAAUCAGAAGUUUCUCGACCGACCAAUCGUGAUUCAUGGGAAUUGACAUUUACUUCGUAGUGAAGUACACAAAUUGUAUUUGAUACAAUUGAGCUCGUGGUACUAAAAUUUUACGCCCCGUUGUAUACGCCAAGAAUUACCAGAAAUAUGAAAGGGAGGAGUCAAAGCUUGUGAAGAAAUGGAGCACUUCCAAGUUUGGCCGAUGAUGAUGAUGAGACUGACAACCACAAGGUAAGCUCGCCGAGUGCAUCCUCUCAAGGGUAGGAAGCGUUUUCGGAGGAAGACUGACGACCAAGAGGACGGGAAUGAUGAUGGUGUGAGACAAUGUAGCAGAAAACAAUAGCACAUAUUUCCGAGAGGAGUACAAAGGAGAACAAAAAAAAAAGGAUGAUGAAGACGUGUCGACACUCUUGAUGUAUGAUAUUCUUCCUAGGAUCUAAUUUUUUUUUUACAUAAAAACGCAUAGGUAUGAAAUGGUCAAUCAAAAUGUACAACAUCGCUUGUCCAAAAAACAUUUUGAUGUGUCUUAUUUUAGGUCAACAUCAAGUGCGGUUUUGUUAAUUUAGAUAUUGAUGCUUGGAUUGGGGAGACGGAAUAGUGAGUGCUGGAAGAAGACUGAUGUAAUGAAAAAGCUGACACUUGUUUGAUGUGCAUGUAGAUAUGAUCAAUGUUAAACCACUAGAAUUA